rnacentral:lncRNA from 1 species
AUGAGCUCAGCUAUGAGCACGGAGGCUGUUUAUAAGCACAGCGCGCAGUUUUCGGACCUGAUCCACAACAUGCGCAAGCUGCUACUGCCGGUGGCCGGUUCCUGGUACCACGCCAUUCAGGCCCUGGUUCGUGACACCGCACACAACAUGGCCGCCAGAGCCACCGAGCAGCUCUCGGAGGUGAUCAGUUUAUCCGCUGAUGUCGUCCAACUGCUCACGCGGUCCGACGUCACACCUCAAGGUUCAGAGAGUUUUACUGUGUUACACAGCAAGUUGAACAAGGCCCAGAACAACACCAGGCUCCUGGCGCAACUUUCCGGUGCACUGAAAGGUCCAGUAGAUCAACUGGAGGGGCCGUGCAUACUGUGGGCUCUAUCGAUGCAGAUUCUGUUGAAGUCUCUGGAUAAGAUCUUGGGCCCGUCGAGUGUAGUAAGUCAACUGACAGUCCAAAAGAAGCUGUCAACAAUGUCUGAAAACUCACUACGGAUCCAGGAGGCCGCAAGGCUAACCAGUCAAGUUUGUAAAAGUGCCCACAAGGCUAAAGAAUUCACUGAAAUCAAGGAGGAACUCAAAACACACACCGAGAACUACCUACAGGUGGCUGAGGAUUUCAGCCUUGUGCAAAGUGUUGUUCAGCUAACCAAGUCUGAGUUCUUUCAAAGAAGUCUUCUGAUUAAACUUAGAGUCUUAUGUGGCCAACUUGAUAAAACAAACAAGGACUACGUUAACACGAUUCAAAAUAUCGUCAACGCUGCUGAAACGGCCGCCAAACACGAAUCGGACGAGAAGACAGCAGAAGAGGCAGAGCAGCAAUUUGAAGCCGCAGUAGAGGCAAUAGUUGAAAACAUAAAUUCUGCCACCAAAAAGGUGGAAGAAUGCCUGAACUACGUGCGUGACCCACGUGCUCGCAGCAACCUGCGGUCCAUCAACGACCACCUGUCUUUCCAGAUCUCCGACAUAGUGAGUCGGGCCCGGCUGAUCGUGGAGACGCGGUUUGUCUCUGACAGCCUCAGCCUUGAGGUUCAGAUACAGUGCUGGUCUGCGAAGGCUCGCUACGUCACGGAGGAGAUCCUCAAAACGGAUGGGAUCCAGCAGCAGGCUAAAGAUCAUAUCAGGAUGGCUCUGCAGGGCGUCGGGCCAGAGGUGGCUCAGGGUGGGAUAGCACCACCUCCAUGUGAGGUAAAGGAAGAGAAACCCAUUACGUUAACCACUUGGCCUAAAAGCCAUGCAGAAAACGUAGACACGGCAAAUAUGGGAAUGUCUGAAGCUGUCACGGUGGAAGAAGACUACCUCAAAAGACAUGUGAGGUUUCCUUUUUCGUUUGAUUUAUUAGAGAUUUUCCAUAAUUCUUAUAAUUGA